rnacentral:misc_RNA from 1 species
GAUGAAGGAACGCAGCGAAAUGCGAUAAGUAAUGUGAAUUGCAGAAUUCAGUGAAUCAUCGAAUCUUUGAACGCACAUUGCGCCCGCCAGUAUUCUGGCGGGCAUGCCUGUUCGAGCGUCAUUACAACCCUCAGGCCCCCGGGCCUGGCGUUGGGGAUCGGCGGAAGCCCCCUGCGGGCACAACGCCGUCCCCCAAAUACAGUGGCGGUCCCGCCGCAGCUUCCAUUGCGUAGUAGCUAACACCUCGCAACUGGAGAGCGGCGCGGCCACGCCGUAAAACACCCAACUUCUGAAUGUUGACCUCGAAUCAGGUAGGAAUACCCGCUGAACUUAAGCAUAUCAAUAAGCGGAGGA